AGAAAUCCUGGUGUAAUGUUGGAGGGAAUGAAAACUAGUACAAUCAUUCUGGAUAGCAGUCUAGAGGUUCCACAAAAAACUAAACAUAGGAUCUUUCCUACAACUCAGCCAUACAGCUCCUGGGCAUCUACCCAGAACAUCACAGGCCAGGAUAUCUUAAAGACACUUGCACAUGC